UACAGAGGCCUCGAGCGUUAGGCGGAAUCACUGGGCUUAAAGCGUGUGUAGGUGGAUGCCUAAGUACCUUGUGAAAUCCCACAGCUUAACUGUGGAACUGCUUGGUAUACUGGGUGUCUUGAGUCACUCAGGGGCGAGCGGAACAAAUGGUGGAGCGGUGAAAUGCGUAGAUAUCAUUUGGAACGCCAAUGGUGAAAACAGCUCGCUGGGGGUGCACUGACACUGAGACACGAAAGCCAGGGGAGCGAACGGG
rnacentral:rRNA from 1 species